UGAAAAGAUUGUCACGAUCGUCUUCUUGAGAGAGAUUGGACCAAGGCGCAGCGUGUGCAAAAUACAUCUCUUUAUUGUGGAAGAGAGAAAACCACGAAAACGAACACUAUACACAAACUAACAAAAACAACAAACGACCGUGAAGCUAAAUAACGUAAGUGUACAGACAAGCCACAAAACGUUCAACAUAGAUAAUUACCCACAAACACAUGAUGCCCAUGGCUGCCUUAAAUAUGGCUCCCAAUUAGAGACAAUAAACCACAGCUGUCUCUAAUUGAGAACCAAUCCAGGCAGCCAUCGACAUACAAACACCUAGACAAGACAUUGCCCCAUUAAACCUACAAACCCCUAGACAAACCAAAACACAUUCUUCCCCAUGUCACACCCUGACCUAACUAAAAUAAUAAUGAAAACAAAGAUAACUAAGGCCAGGGUGUGACAAAGAUAUUGUGUUUUAAAUCAAAUUCUACUAUAUUUUGGUUAAGUGUGAAUUUCUUGAAAGAACUUGAAAAGCAGUCAAUAUUUUUUAUGUGUCCCUGGUUUUGAUAGUUUGGAUACCCAUACUCAUCUGGUUUUCAGGUAAGUGUCUUAUGAACCUUCUUCGGGAUUGGUGUCCCGUCCACGGGAUGGUUGUGCUAACGUAGGCUAAUGCGAUUGGUAUUAGGUUGUAAGUAACAAGAAAAUUUCCCAGGACAUAGACAUAUCUGAUAUUGGCAGAAAGCUUAAAUUCUUGUUAAUCUAACUGCACUGUCCAAUUUACAGUAGCUAUUACAGUGAAAGAAUACCGUGAUAUUGUUUGAGGAGAGUGCAUAAUUUUGAACAUGAAAAGUUAUUAAUAAACAAAUUAGGCACAUUUGGGCAGUCUUGAUACAACAUUUUGACAGAAAUGCAAUGGUUCAUUGGAUCAGUCUAAAACUUUGCACAUACACUGCUCCCAUCUGGUGGCCAAAAUCAAAAUUGCACCUGGGCUGGAAUAAUAUACAUUAUGGUUUUUCUUUUCCAUUUAAAUGAUGAUGGUACAAAAAAAAUACAAAAGAAUGGUUGUUUUUUUCUUUGUAUUAUCUUUUACCAGAUCUACUGUGUUUAUUCUCCUACAUUCCUUUCACAUUUCCAAAAACUGUAAAGUGUUUCCUUUCAAAUGGUACCAAGAAUAUGCAUAUCCUUGCUUCAGGGCCUGAGCUACAGGCAGUUGGAUUUGGGUAUGUCAUUUUAGACAAAAAAAAAAAAAAAAAGGGGCGGAUCCUUAAGAGGUGAAAAUAUUUGUUAUAUGUUUACAAUGCUGGAUAAACAGAAAACAAGUUGAUUUUAAAAUUAGAGAAAUAACAAACAAAAAUGUUAUUUGUCUCAAUUCCAGCCUUACCUGAAGCUCAUCUACAACCCCUCAGCUACAACAAAAAACUAAUUUGAAUAUGGGAUAACAGCACUUCUCCCAUCAUUCAUGAAGGCUGAGGAGACAGAGACUCGGGAGGAGGAAGGAAAAUAAUAUGGCGGAUACAAGGUGUAUGGCAGGGAGAAGAAGCCCAAGGCUUGCAUCUGGAUUGGAAUCGUUGAUUGGAUUGAGAUGACACAUUUACAUAUCUUUCUGGAGUACAUUAAACUUUAAAGAUGAACUAUGAAUUUUUUAGUUGCUAAUAUUUUUCCUAAAUACCAAUCAAUUUCUUAACUCAUGAAACCACACAAGCCUUAGUUUUAGGCUAACAAUAUAUGAUUUUACUUGUGGGUAUGCAGUGAGGUCAUUUCAGGAUGAUAUUUCUGGCUAUUCAGGGAACCCCUUUUGGCUCAAGAGCACACCAGUGGCAAAUUAUGUGUAACCUCUCUAGAUCCUCUUUAUAUCUAUACAGUACAUGGCAGGUGUUGGUGGAGGUUACUUCUGUGAUAUAAUUGGACACCUUCUCAAUCAAUUGCUACAUAACAUUCAUUAAAACGUCCACCUAAGAGCUCUUGUUUUCGUGUGCAUACAAAGUACAAUUGACAACUGUGAUUUUGCUUGAUAAUGGAUUUAUUUGACAAUAGAAAAUGUAUCAUAUUGUAACUGAAAUCAGAUCUUAAAUAUAGGAGUAGGAAUCUGGGAUUGAUGUGCCGAUCCCUAAAGAUUAAACAAAAAAAGAAACACGUAAAUGGAAGUACAGUAUAUUCCUGAUAUGAAUACAUUUCAGAUGUUCAGUUGAAAAUAUGUCUCCUUCCCAUAUUAAAAACCUGGAAAUGGCCCUAAUGUUACCCUACCUCAAUUUUCCUUGCCCCCACAUACAAUUCUAUGGCUCAAACAGGAGUGAGAAGUUGGGACGACCCUGUAAAAAAUGUUUAGCAUGAUGACAUGAUAAAAGAACAAUAUAUGUUUCAUAUCACAUGUUAAAAAUCUAUAUAUACAAUGUAUACAUACUAUAAUAUAUUAUGUUAGUAUUGUUAUAGUCAUAGUAUAAGAAGUAGAGGUCAUACCUCAUCUAUGCCAGGGUCAACUGUGUCCCCACGGUGAUCUGGUGGAGGGUUGGCAGCCUCUGUCUGGAAUCUUUUAGGCCAUGUCUAUCAACACAAAAAUACAGUUGGAUAUCAUACAGCACAGUCUACAUCAGCAGCCCUCACAUAGAGGCCACAUUAAUGUUAUCCGUAUAUGAUUCAGACACAGUAGUAAGAGAUGACUUACCUUUCCUGGUGCCUGAGGUUGGGCAGCCUGUUGCAAUUUUAAAAGGGAAAAUAAUAAUAAUCAAGAUACUCUGUCUGGCCUAUAAAAUGAUUGUUUGUUUAAAAUUAAACUAAAAUCAUGACAUGACGAUAUA